AUGCACGCUGGCGGCGUGCCUCAUCCCUGCCAGUCGCGCGAACAGACGAGGAGCUUGCUCCUUUGACGUUAGCGGCGGACGGGUGAGUAACACGUAGGUAACCUACCUAUAAGACUGGGAUAACUUCGGGAAACCGGAGCUAAUACCGGAUAAUAUUUCGAACCGCAUGGUUCGAUAGUGAAAGAUGGCUUUGCUAUCACUUAUAGAUGGACCUGCGCCGUAUUAGCUAGUUGGUAAGGUAACGGCUUACCAAGGCAACGAUACGUAGCCGACCUGAGAGGGUGAUCGGCCACACUGGAACUGAGACACGGUCCAGACUCCUACGGGAGGCAGCAGUAGGGAAUCUUCCGCAAUGGGCGAAAGCCUGACGGAGCAACGCCGCGUGAGUGAUGAAGGUCUUCGGAUCGUAAAACUCUGUUAUUAGGGAAGAACAAACGUGUAAGUAACUGUGCACGUCUUGACGGUACCUAAUCAGAAAGCCACGGCUAACUACGUG
rnacentral:rRNA from 1 species